UACGUAGGGUACUAGCGUUGUCCGGAUUUAUUGGGCGUAAAGGGCUUGUAGGUGGUUUGUCGCGUCUGUCGUGAAAUCCUGUGGCUUAACCAUGGGCUUGCGGUGGGUACGGGCAGGCUUGAGUGCGGUAGGGGAGACUGGAAUUCCUGGUGUAGCGGUGGAAUGCGCAGAUAUCAGGAGGAACACCGGUGGCGAAGGCGGGUCUCUGGGCCGUUACUGACACUGAGGAGCGAAAGCGUGGGGAGCGAACAGG
rnacentral:rRNA from 1 species